AUUCGGCUGAUGAGUACUAAAUAGGACGAAAUGCGCGUCCUGGAU
rnacentral:hammerhead_ribozyme from 1 species